rnacentral:rRNA from 1 species
UGGCGGACGGGUGAGUAACGCGUGGGAAACCUGCCCUAGUACAGGGGGAUAACACUUAGAAAUAGGUGCUAAUACCGCAUAAGCGCACAGCUUCGCAUGAAGCGGUGUGAAAAACUCUGGUGGUAUACGAUGGUUCCGCGUCUGAUUAGCUAGUUGGUGGGGUAAUGGCCUACCAAGGCAACGAUCAGUAGCCGGCCUGAGAGGGUGAACGGCCACAUUGGGACUGAGACACGGCCCAAACUCCUACGGAAGGCAGCAG